GAUCCUGGCUCAGGAUGAACGCUAGCUACGGGCUUAACACAUGCAAGUCGAGGGGCAGCAUGAACUUAGCUUGCUAAGUUUGAUGGCGACCGGCGCACGGGUGAGUAACACGUAUCCAACCUGCCGACGACUCGGGGAUAGCCUUUCGAAAGAAAGAUUAAUACCCGAUGGCAUAGUUCUUCCGCAUGGUAGAACUAUUAAAGAAUUUCGGUCAUCGAUGGGGAUGCGUUCCAUUAGGUUGUUGGG
rnacentral:rRNA from 1 species